rnacentral:rRNA from 1 species
UACGGAGGGUGCAAGCGUUACUCGGAAUCACUGGGCGUAAAGGGUGCGUAGGCGGGUUAUCAAGUCUCGAGUGAAAUCCAACGGUUAAGCCGUUGGAUUUCACUCGAGACUUGAUAACCCGCCUAGAGUGAGGGAGAGGCAGAUGGAAUUGGUGGUGUAGGGGUAAGAUCCGUAGAGAUCACCAGGAAUACCCAUUGCGAAGGCGAUCUGCUGGAACUCAACUGACGCUGAGGCACGAAAGCGUGGGGAG